UUUUGGAACGGAGUGAGUAUU
rnacentral:miRNA from 2 species